rnacentral:rRNA from 1 species
UACGUAGGGCGCAAGCGUUGUCCGGAAUUAUUGGGCGUAAAGAGCGUGUAGGCGGCCAGGUAGGUCUGCUGUGAAAACUCGAGGCUUAACCUCGAGCUGUCGGCGGAAACCAUCUGGCUAGAGUCCGGAAGAGGAGAAUGGAAUUCCCGGUGUAGCGGUGAAAUGCGCAGAUAUCGGGAAGAACACCCGUGGCGGAAGGCGGCUCUCUGGGACGGUACUGACGCUGAGACGCGAAAGCGUGGGGAGCGAACAGG